rnacentral:lncRNA from 1 species
CAAGUUAACCUGAGCUAUUCAGCUUCCAAUUGAACCUACAGGCGAAAAAUGUGUUGCCGUAGAACAUUUUUAUUAACAUUUCAGUAAGGGUGUGGUAAGGUGUCAGACCCCAACUUUGGACCUAAUUAAAAAAAACUAAGCCGAAAGCACACCCGGGAUUUAUUGUCAAGUAAACCUUAGCUAUUCAGCUUCCUAUUGCACCUAUUGGCGACAAAUGUAUUGCCGUAGAACAUUCUUAUUAACAUUUCGCAUGUUUCGGUGAGGAUGGGGUAGGUUGUCCGACCCCAACUUUGGACAUAAUUUAAACAAAAAAAAAAUAAGCCGUCGUACACCCUGGAUUUUUUUGUCAAAAUAACCUUAAGCUAUUCAGCUUCCCAUUGCACCUAGUGUCGAAAAGAGUAUUGCCG